GCUACAUCGACCGGUCACACGCAACACGAAGAAACAAAAAUGUCCAACUUUCCAUAUUUUACGUCGUUUCAACAAGGAAAUGAGGACUCUCUAGUCAAUUAUGGGACACCAACAGAUGGAAGUUUAUCUGACGCCGCAGACAUUGAAGAAUUUAGUGAAAAUGAGAAUGCAGGGAGGUUCCAAUGUGAUAUUCACACACCCCAACUGCC